AUUGAACGCUGGCGGCAUGCUUUACACAUGCAAGUCGAACGGGGUGAGGAGCUUGCUCCUCAUCUAGUGGCGAACGGGUGAGUAAUACAUCGGAACGUACCGUGUAGUGGGGGAUAACGUAGCGAAAGUUACGCUAAUACCGCGUACGAUCCACGGAUGAGAGCAGGGGACCUUCGGGCCUUGUGCUAUACGAGCGGCCGAUGUCUGAUUAGCUAGUUGGUGGGGUAAAGGCCCACCAAGGCAACGAUCAGUAGCGGGUCUGAGAGGAUGAUCCGCCACACUGGGACUGAGACACGGCCCAGACUCCUACGGGAGGCAGCAGUGGGGAAUUUUGGACAAUGGGCGCAAGCCUGAUCCAGCCAUGCCGCGUGUCUGAAGAAGG
rnacentral:rRNA from 1 species